AACGAACGCUGGCGGCAGGCCUAACACAUGCAAGUCGAGCGCGCCCUUCGGGGUGAGCGGCGGACGGGUGAGUAACGCGUGGGAACGUGCCCUUUUCUACGGAAUAGCCUCGGGAAACUGAGAGUAAUACCGUAUACGCCCUUUGGGGGAAAGAUUUAUCGGAAAAGGAUCGGCCCGCGUUGGAUUAGGUAGUUGGUGGGGUAAUGGCCUACCAAGCCGACGAUCCAUAGCUGGUUUGAGAGGAUGAUCAGCCACACUGGGACUGAGACACGGCCCAGACUCCUACGGGAGGCAGCAGUGGGGAAUCUUAGACAAUGGGGGCAACCCUGAUCUAGCCAUGCCGCGUGAGUGAUGAAGGCCUUAGGGUUGUAAAGCUCUUUCAGCUGUGAAGAUAAUGACGGUACCAGCAGAAGAAGCCCCGGCUAACUCCGUG
rnacentral:rRNA from 1 species